rnacentral:rRNA from 1 species
GUAGGUGGCAAGCGUUGUCCGGGAAUUAUUGGGGCGUAAAGCGCGCGCAGGCGGUUCUUUGAGUCUGAUGUGAAAGCCCACGGGCUCAACCGUGGAGGGUCAUUGGAAACUGGAGAACUUGAGUACAGAAGAGGAAAGCGGAAUUCCACGUGUAGCGGUGAAAUGCGUAGAGAUGUGGAGGAACACCAGUGGCGAAGGCGGCUUUCUGGUCUGUAACUGACGCUGAGGCGCGAAAGCGUGGGGAGCAAACAGGAUUAGAUACCCUGGUAGUCCACGCCGUAAACGAUGAGUGCUAAGUGUUAGGGGGUUUCCGCCCCUUAGUGCUGCAGCCAACGCAUUAAGCACUCCGCCUGGGGAGUACGGCCGCAAAGGCUG